UAUGAUUCACUUGUUUCCCAUCAUCAGACAGGAUGAGUUCAGGAUGUGCUGUAUCAGGAUCAAGAGUCACAUCCACUGCAUACCGCUGGACCCCCUAUAGUUCAGAU